ensembl:lincRNA 2310015D24Rik RIKEN cDNA 2310015D24 gene
AAAGCUCACUCUGAGUACCUCCAGAACUAGCUUUCUCCCUGACAAACUAAAGGAAGUUUUGGCCCCUUGACGUCUUUGUGAGGUUGGCAAUCCCCCUGGUCAACCAGAGAACCAACAGGUGAGAUGACAAUGAAAAUAAGGCCCAGUGUACAGCAAAAGGGAUGUAGCAAGACAGAAGUGACUGUGACUCAGAUGUUAUCAAAGACAAGAUGAAGCCUGCCUGAGAACCCUCCUCUUAAACAGCAGGAGCCCAGACCCUGAGCAGGGAGAGAGUCAGGUCCCAGAUGGAGAUGCUGAUCAACUUCAUAGCAUCACCAUGGAGCCAGAUCUGGAAAUUCUCUAGGGGUUGCUGAACAACCCUGUCAUCCCUACCUGACCUCAGCCGCCGAGUCCCUGUGAACACUGUCCGCAAGCAAUCAUCCCGGCGGGGGGGGCUUUGUUCUGCAGUCCAAGCCACCUGGAGAAGAACGGGUAAGGUGGAAGUAUGGAGAAAGAUGGCUCACAGAUACAGGAAAGCUGCAGAGGGAGCCGAGUCAGUUCCAGUGUUCAUACAGGGGCAGACUAUGGCAACUACAGC